rnacentral:rRNA from 1 species
AUACGGAGGGUGCAAGCGUUAAUCGGAAUUACUGGGCGUAAAGCGUACGUAGGCGGUUCGUUAAGUUAGAUGUGAAAGCCCCGGGCUUAACCUGGGAACUGCAUUUAAAACUGGCGAACUAGAGUUGAGUAGAGGGGAGUGGAAUUUCAGGUGUAGCGGUGAAAUGCGUAGAGAUCUGAAGGAACACCAGUGGCGAAGGCGACUCCCUGGACUCGAACUGACGCUGAGGUACGAAAGCGUGGGUAGCAAACGGGAUUAGAACCCCCAGUAGUCC